UACGUAGGGUGCAAGCGUUGUCCGGAAUUAUUGGGCGUAAAGAGCUCGUAGGCGGUCUGUCGCGUCGGCUGUGAAAUCCCGAGGCUCAACCUCGGGUCUGCAGUCGAUACGGGCAAACUAGAGUAUUGCAGGGAGACUGGAAUUCCUGGUGUAGCGGUGAAAUGCGCAGAUAUCAGGAGGAACACCGGUGGCGAAGGCGGUCUCUGGGCAAUAACUGACGCUGAGGAGCGAAAGCGUGGGAGCGAACAGG
rnacentral:rRNA from 1 species